rnacentral:rRNA from 1 species
AUUCUGCCAGUAGUCAUAUGCUUGUCUCAAAGAUUAAGCCAUGCAUGUCUAAGUAUAAGCAAUUAUACCGUGAAACUGCGAAUGGCUCAUUAAAUCAGUUAUCGUUUAUUUGAUAAUACCUUACUACUUGGAUAACCGUGGUAAUUCUAGAGCUAAUACAUGCUGAAAAUCCCGACUUCGGAAGGGAUGUGUUUAUUAGAUAAAAAACCAAUGCCCUUCGGGGCUCCUUGGUGAUUCAUAAUAACUUUACGGAUCGCAUAGCCUUGCGCUGGCGACGGUUCAUUCAAAUUUCUGCCCUAUCAACUUUCGAUGGUAAGGUAUUGGCUUACCAUGGUUUCAACGGGUAACGGGGAAUUAGGGUUCGAUUCCGGAGAGGGAGCCUGAGAAACGGCUACCACAUCCAAGGAAGGCAGCAGGCGCGCAAAUUACCCAAUCCCGAUUCGGGGAGGUAGUGACAAUAAAUACUGAUACAGGGCUCUUUUGGGUCUUGUAAUUGGAAUGAGUACAAUUUAAACCUCUUAACGAGGAACAAUUGGAGGGCAAGUCUGGUGCCAGCAGCCGCGGUAAUUCCAGCUCCAAUAGCGUAUAUUAAAGUUGUUGCAGUUAAAAAGCUCGUAGUUGAAACUUGGGUCUGGCUGGCGGGUCCGCCUCACCGCGUGCACUCGUCCGGCCGGGCCUUCCUUCUGAAGAACCUCAUGCCCUUUACUGGGCGUGUUGGGGAAUCAGGACUUUUACUUUGAAAAAAUUAGAGUGUUCAAAGCAGGCCUUUGCUCGAAUACGUUAGCAUGGAAUAAUAAAAUAGGGCGUGCGUUUCUAUUUUGUUGGUUUCUAGAGACGCCGCAAUGAUUAACAGGAACAGUCGGGGGCAUCAGUAUUCAGUUGUCAGAGGUGAAAUUCUUGGAUUUACUGAAGACUAACUACUGCGAAAGCAUUUGCCAAGGAUGUUUUCAUUAAUCAGUGAACGAAAGUUAGGGGAUCGAAGACGAUCAGAUACCGUCGUAGUCUUAACCGUAAACUAUGCCGACUAGGGAUCGGGCGAUGUUCUUUUUCUGACUCGCUCGGCACCUUACGAGAAAUCAAAGUUUUUGGGUUCUGGGGGGAUUAUGGUCGCAAGGCUGAAACUUAAAGAAAUUGACGGAAGGUCACCACCAGGCGUGGAGCCUGCGGCUUAAUUUGACUCAACACGGGAAACUCACCAGGUUCAGAUGAAAUAAGGAUUGACAGAUUGAGAGCUCUUUCUUGAUUUUUCAGGUGGUGGUGCAUGGCCGUUCUUAGUUCGUGGGGUGACUUGUCUGCUUAAUUGCGAUAACGAGCGAGACCUUACUCUGCUAAAUAGCCAGGCUAGCUUUGGCUGGUCGCCGGCUUCUUAGAGAGACUAUCAACUCAAGUUGAUGGAAGUUUGAGGCAAUAACAGGUUAACCUACACAGGCCUGUAACAGUGGGCCUCGUUAAAGAUAACUGCUAGUCUAGCGUCUUAACCUUCUUUGGGGAAGUCCCCUACUGUCGGGAGAAGGCAAGUUUUACUUGUGACGUAGGCAACACCACCUGGUACAGGGAACGCCGGAUCUGCUAUUGCGUGUGCAGAUUG